rnacentral:rRNA from 1 species
CCAGCAGCCGCGGUAAGACGUAGGAUGCAAGCGUUGUUCGGAUUUAUUGGGCGUAAAGCGUACGUAGGCGGUUCGGUAAGUGGGAGGUUAAAGACCAGGGCUCAACCCUGGGAGUGCCCCCCAAACUGUCGGACUAGAGGAUCAUAGGGGAAGGUGGAAUUCCGAGUGUAGCGGUGAAAUGCGUAGAUAUUCGGAGGAACGCCAGUGGCGAAAGCGACCUUCUGGGUGACACCUGACGCUGAGGUACGAAAGCAUGGGGAGC